rnacentral:lncRNA from 1 species
AGUCAAACAAGCUUCAACAUUCUAUGUGAACAGGUAGGUAACAGAUGAGACUUGCACAUUUUUAGGGUACGAGUAUAAAGGAGGUGAUCAUGUCACUAUGCACAGUGUAAGAUAUAAAACAUGUUUAAGGGCAGGUCGCACAAGCAAUAACAAGAUUGGUAUAAAUAGUUUUGUGGCCUUGGAGCUAAGUUACAUGUAAAAUACCCCAAGUUUAAUACCUUAGGUGGUCUUCUUUUAAAAAUUAUAUACAUGUGAAGGGUUAUUCAGGGAUUCCUGACAGAUAUCAGUGUUACAGUAUUAACUUUCAUUAAUUUUGAAAAAAAAAUGGUUUGAAAUAGCAACGUGCUACUUGUACUUAUAGCCCUAUAACUUUCCAAAAAAGCUAUGAACAUGUUCACAUUGGGUAUUUCUAAACUCAGGACAAAAUGUAGAAACUAUUUAGCACGGAUGUUUUGUGUGUUAGAAAAUGUGUUUUUUUUUUUGUUUGUUUUUUUUAUCAUAUUUUAUAAAAAUGUUAUAGUAAAUUAUAUGAUAUGAUGAAAAUAAUGGUAUCUUUAGAAAGACCAUUUAAUGGUGAGAAAAACUGUAUAUAAUAUGUGUGCUAAGCAGUGAGAGGAUUGCACAUUGGUGGCAGCAGCACAACCAUAUUCACGUCUUAAUCACUACUGUAAGCGCCUGUGUACACAAUAUUGUCACCAGGGUACAGUAAAUGGGUAAGAAGAAAAUUACAGCUAAACACAAAACAUCGCAGAAAUGUAAAAACAGCCCUGGUCCCAAAUGGUAAAAUUGAAAAGUAGUCUGGUCAUUACGGGGUUAAAGUUAGCAUCUAUGUUUACAUUUGCUUUUGAUCCAAAUUUAACUACAGAUGUUAUUGACUGGUUUUCGAUCCAGGUUUACUUCACAAGAGUAAUCCUCGUUUUCGACUCUGCUCUCUCAUUUCAGUUUAAAGUUUCCAUCAGUUGCCAAGCUUGAAAUCCUCGGAUCCGGUUAUGGAUUCAUCUCAUCGGCUUGAGUGGUCAUCUUCAUUGGUUAUCCUGUUCCAGAUUGGUUCGCAACUAGAAAGAGGAGGAGGGCCUGGAGAGCAGAGUCUUACCUUGUGUUACUUGGUUUUGAUUGGAUCUCACUGUUACUAUGUUAAACUAUGCUGCUGUGGAGCUUAAGUAAAAAGUAAAGAGAGACUUAAGACUUUCUUUACUUAAGCUCCACAGCAGCAUAACUUUUACGUAGCAAUAAGGAUCACAGGCAAUAAAAGUCCCUCCCCCAAUCAGCUCUUCCUCUUUCUGGCUGCGAAACGAAACAAACAGCAACUGGUGAAUACACUGGAAUGACACCUCUGAUGAGAUGAAUCCAAGAUUAACAGGAACCGUCUUGAAUCUCCACCUUGGAAGGCCUUUUAAACUGAAAUGAAAGAAGAGAGUCAAAAGGAGGGAUUGAUCAAAGAAUUGGACUCCUAAAUGCAUGCAACCUAGACCAUUUAACAUUCAGUGUUGACUCAGUUAUAGCUACAAACUAAACAAAAAAAAACAGACAUGCUAUUAGAGAACUGCAAGCCCACUCACCCCUCUGUCCAGUAGUCUUACUUGAUGAAGCAAACAAAAGUGACAGGGAAAAGAAAGGGUGGGAAAAUAUCACUUCCUGUCAUUAAUAAAAUUAAGAUUAUAGGUACACUAAAGCUAGCAUAAUCUACAAUUUUAUAACAUGACAGGAGGCUUCAAAUUUUGUUGUUUUAAUGCUCAGCAAAUAAGGCUAAGGAAGUGUGCACUGCCAGACGUAAGUAGAAAUUGCGGAACAUCUCCUCUCGCGGAUUUGAAGAUGUCGUGAAGAGAAGCACCUACCAUAAAUGCACCAGAGACCGCUGCCCCCCUGACCGAGUGCGCCCCAAAGGAAGCUUCAACCCCCGCUAAGGAGAGUAACCAUCUGAUCCAACGAGCCAGAGUGGUGGUUGAGACCAGAGCAUUGGGGUGAACAUAUGAGAUUUAAAGUUUACCAGAGAGGGAGGGACAGAGGGAAGCAGUAACGGCUGAGUAACGAGAGAGGGUAGACACCACACAUUAUUUUGGGAAAUUGGGAAAAUACGGAUAGAAAACUGAGGAGUCGGAUUUCAUACGUAUGGAUAUGGAGAAGGUAACUCCUUCUGGGGAGAAGGUGAAGGCAUUGAAGUCAAAAGCCCGCACAUCAGAAACACAACAAAUAGAUACGAAACAGAGUAGUAAGGGGAAUUUUGCCGCAAGUUGGCGAAGAGAGAGAUCCGUGUUAUCAGGCCAGUCUUGGAGGAAACGGAGGACAACCUUAAUGGUCCCACAGGUGUGAAUACUUUGGUGCUGGAGGACAAGCAAAUUUGAUGCCCCGUAGAAGUCUGCACACCAGAGGGUCUUUGCUGAUAGAGAAGCCGUGUAGAGGAACAGGGGCUGUGAGUGGAUCGGAAUUCGGUUCAAUACACCAACUGCACCAAGUAUUCCAGGCAGAGAGAUAUCAUCUUCGAGUUCCAGGGGCCUAGGAAUCCCAGAGGAGGUCCUUAGUUGUCUGCGAUAGGCCUCCGACAUUCCGGGGUACCCCGAAAAGAUUCCAAGCCACCAAUUGAAGACGAUCAUGCAGUAUCAAGGGUGGGGGGUCCUGAGGGUCCAAGAGGAAAUCCGGGAAUGUCAGAAGGAGCAGUGGAUCUUGCCAGGAUAAUUCCAGGAGGUCCGGAAACCCGGCUUGGCGUCAGUAGUAUCAGAUGGACAACACUUUGUCAUCAAAUAUGUAGUAUAACCCUGGGAAUCAUGGUGAAGGGUGGAAACACAUAGGCUCUGUGUUCUGGCCACUCUUGGAGGAAAGCAUCUACUGCAGUUGAUUUCGGAUCGGGGAGCCAACUGAAGAAACUGGGGACUUGCUAGUUCCUGUGUGACGCAAAGAGGUCUAUUCCGAAUGGACCUCGCAGGAAGGCAAUUCGUAAGAACACCGACCGGUGGAGUCGCUAGUCGCUGACGCCCCUCCAAUGUCUGGAGAACCAAUCUGCCGUGAUAGUCACCGCUCCGGGAGGUUAUUCUGCUUGGAGUGUAAUGUUGCGCUGAAAGCAAAAACUAUAGAUAUCUUUUGUGACUUCCGAAAGGGUGCGUGACCAGGCCCCGCCCAGACGGUUGAUGUAUUGCACUGCGGAAAUGUUGUCCAUCCUCAACAGUAUCCAACAAUCCGAGAGGUGUUUGGCCAGGCUGCAGAUAGAGAAAGAUCCAGCAAUCAGCUCUAGACAAUUGAUAUCAAAUAUGUUCUCUGACGAUGUCCAAGGUCCUCCUGUGGAAGCUGACGAGCCAAAGGUGGCCCAUCUGUGGAGACUUGCAUCAGACUCCACAAUGAAGUCUGGAGAGGGACCGAAGAUCACCUUACAGUUCCACGCCGACAUGUGGAGAAGCCACAGUUGGAGUUCUUCUCUGAUGUCUGGUGUGAGGGGGACUCUUUGAUCAUAUGAGGGUUGGUGACGUAGAAACCGAGCUUUUAAGCGUUGCAUAGCUCGAUAAUGCUGUGGUCCCUGGUAAAUUGCUUGUAUGGAGGAUGAUAACAGUAAGAGAUUGUCCAGAUAGAUAAUACAGCGUAUGCCUUUGGCCCGUAAUUGUGUCAUGACUGGCUUUAACAGCUUGGUGAGACACCAAGGAGCUGAGAUCGAGUGGAAGGCAUGUGAACUGGAAGGAUUCGUUUUUUUUAGAUGAAACAGAGGAACCGUCUGCUCUCCUGGUACCAACAGAUAAGUGUCCUUCAGAUCUGGGCAGGUAAACCAAUCCCUUGCGAAGGAGAUGAAUGCCUUCCAUCUUGAAGUGCCUGUAGACCACAAAGGAGUCAACCAACGUAGAUUUAUGAACGGAGGGAACUCCCCUGACUUCUUGCGAACCAGGGAGAUGGAACUGAAGAAUCCCCUGUUGUCCUCUGUUGGAUCGCCCCUUUCGCUAGAAGGGACUGAAUCUCUGUCUGAGCUUGCUGUUCGUUCGAGACAAUCCGAUAAGAUGGACGAUCCAGUUGUUGGGGUGCAGAAUGAAAGUUGAUUAAAUAACCUCGGACCGAAAAAAAAAAAAACUCGGACCGUAUUCAGGAUCCAAGCGUCUGAAGACAGUGUUUUCCAUUUGUCAAAACAGUGAUACAAUCUGCCAGCAUGACAAAGACAAGAAAGGUAUAGAGGAACAUUUUUCACCUAGGGUAGUUUGACUCGAAUUCCUCUCCCAUGAUCCGAUCUCUGGCUGGAGAAGCCCGUGGUUGAUAGCUCAGGAAGAAGGAAGGAGAGUGGGAUCUUCUGUGACUGGAAGGCCAGAAACAGCUGGCAGUUCGACUUCUUUGACGGCCAGCCCUGUAAGAAACCAGGGAAGGGUAUUGGCUGAAGAUCCUCUUCAUGGACGAUUGGGCUUUAUUAAGCAUAGUGUAGAAGUUGACAUAUAUGUGGAGCUCCUUUAUAAAGGGCUCAACAAAUAACAAGCCUUUGGCCAGAGGACCCAGUUCCUUGGAUCCAAGGUCUGAUAGCUUGGCAUCCAUGCGGAGUAGCACCGUUUUUCUUCGCUCCGUACAUAAAGAGACAUUGUCAUUGCUCAGCAGGCAAAUGGAGCGUAGAGCCCAGUCCCGAAUCAUGGACGAGUCUAGCGUAGCCUCUUGAGAAUGGCUUCAUUAGCUAACAUUAAUAUUUUGGCCAGGGGUCCCUGGACAUCCAGAAAUUUGUCUUGUGAUAACCGCAGGCUCCAUUCCACGCCCUUACGCGGGUCACUGCCCAUUCUGGCCAGUUAGGUAUACACCGUAUAAUCAAAGCUGGAAGUGCACUCAGCUCCUCACUAGGGAAUCCAGGGUGCUCUUGAAAAAGUCCCAGUACCCAAAAGCACCAAGCGGAUACAUUUGUAGAAAAUGAUCAAGG